rnacentral:rRNA from 1 species
GGUUUCCCUUUACGAAUUGUAGUUUAAAGAAGUGUUUUCUGUUGAGGUUUUGGUAAAAGUUCUUUGGAAUAGGACAUCAUAGAGGGUGAGAAUCCCGUAUUUGACCUUUACUUUCAACUUUGUGAUACACUUUCAAAGAGUCGGAUUGUUUGGGAAUGCAGUCCAAAAUGGGUGGUAAAUUUCAUCUAAAGCUAAACAUUGGCGAGAGACCGAUAGCGAACAAGUACCGUGAGGGAAAGAUGAAAAGAACUUUGAAAAGAGAGUUAAACAGUACGUGAAAUUGUCAAAAGGGAAGCGUUUGACACCAGUGUUGUUUUUCUGAAAAUCAAUUAAAGAACUGUUUAUGCUAAGUUGUUUAGACUUUAUCAGCUAACUGUUUAGUUUUGAGCUUUUCUUU